AAGGUCAUUCAGGAAGGAGAGCU
rnacentral:piRNA from 1 species